UUCGGUUGAUCCUGCCGGAGGCCAUUGCUAUUGGGGUCCGAUUUAGCCAUGCUAGUUGUGCGAGUUCAGCCUCGCGGCGAAAAGCUCAGUAACACGUGGCCAAGCUACCCUUCAGACUGCGAUAACCUCGGGAAACUGAGGCUAAUAGCGGAUACGGGACCGGCGCUGGAAUGCGCGGUCCUCCAAACGCUCCGGCGCUGAAGGAUGCGGCUGCGGCCGAUUAGGUAGACGGUGGGGUAACGGCCCACCGUGCCGAUAAUCGGUACGGGUUGUGAGAGCAAGAGCCCGGAGACGGAAUCUGAGACAAGAUUCCGGGCCCUACGGGGCGCAGCAGGCGCGAAACCUUUACACUGCACGCAAGUGCGAUAAGGGGACCCCAAGUGCGAGGGCAUACAGUCCUCGCUUUUCACACCCGUAAGGAGGUUGUGGAAUAAGAGCUGGGCAAGACCGGUGCCAGCCGCCGCGGUAAUACCGGCAGCUCGAGUGAUGGCCGCUAUUAUUGGGCCUAAAGCGUCCGUAGCUGGCCACGCAAGUCCGUCGGGAAAUCCACCAGCCCAACUGGUGGGCGGCCGACGGAAACUGCGUGGCUUGGGACCGGAAGACCCAACGGGUACGUCCGGGGUAGGAGUGAAAUCCCGUAAUCCCGGACGGACCACCGAUGGCGAAAGCACGUUGGGGAGACGGCUCCGACAGUGAGGGACGAAAGCUGGGGUCUCGAACCGGAUUAGAUACCCGGGUAGUCCCAGCCGUAAACGAUGCCUGUUAGGUGUGGCACCCGCUACGAGCGGGUGCUGUGCCGUAGGGAAGCCGCUAAACAGGCCGCCUGGGAAGUACGUCCGCAAGGAUGAAACUUAAAGGAAUUGGCGGGGGAGCACUACAACCGGAGGAGCCUGCGGUUUAAUUGGAUUCAACGCCGGA
rnacentral:rRNA from 1 species